UUGAUUUAAGACUAAAAUUUCACCAAAGUCUCAAAUUAGGUUGAAAAUUUAACUCAAAAUCGAGCUCCAAAAUUCCCCCCUCGAUUUCUAUCUACCGCUCCCAAAUUUUCACCAAAUUUUUUCGCUCCCUCUUACUUUUCGCUCCAAAUCACUUAAAGUUUUCGAAUCUUAAUUCCCCUUGAAUCUGUUCUAUAACAAAGGCCUCCAACAGAGAAUGAUUUUUACUCUCUCUGAUGAGUAGGGGUUCCUUCUGCAUCUCUCUCAGAUUCUUCCUCUCCUAUCUAUUCACAGCUACUCGCAUCUUCUCUUGCUGCUAGAGAUUGUUUAUUUGCCAAGGUUUCUUGGAUUGAGUUUGCUGGUUUUCAGAACUGGUGAUAGGUUUCUUAGUUUGCUAAUGGAAACAAUUGCAAUAUCUAACAGUACGCCUAACUAUAUUAACUUAUCAGACAACCAACACUUGGUUGACGUCUUGUGCCAUUGCCUUGAACCAUUUUGUUGUUCCUGCUGAUAUAAGGUUUUCUUCCAUUUCUUAUGAAGGAUUAUGAUCUACUUAGUGUUUUGUAUUUCAGAAAGUGGCUAUUUGCAUGCUAAGAUGAUUAGCAUUUAUUAGAAUGGAAGUGAAAGAGCUGUAGUAUUCUUGUUUUAGCUUGGCCUCAAUAAUCGCAUGAUUAAUAUCCCACAAUGUAUCUUUAACAUGCUGAGUGCACUUUCGUGAGUAAAUUAAGAGAUUGUUUCGAGCCUACUAACUGGAGAUCCUAUAAUUGUUUCGUUUCAGUCAAUAAUUGCCUUGAUCAAGUUUUUGUGUGGAGCUGAUGCAACCAACACGACAUGGUUAUUGCCUGAGGUGGCCAUGUUUUCGAUCAAAACAGGAGAACUACUAUUGCUCACAUUGGUUUCCGUUGGACGGAUUCUGCAAAGGCUGGAACUUUCAAAAUUUUGAGCUUCAGUUUUGACUCCGGGUAUUGCAACAAUUGGCAGCUCGUUCUUCUUCCUAGGUUGUCGUUUGGGAGAUCGUAUGCUUGUCCAAUAUACAUCUGGUGUGGGAACUGCAGCUUUGACUUCUGAUCAUGUGAAGGAAGAGGAUUAUAUUGAGAAAACAUGGGAGAGACAGUUUUAUCAUGAAGACACGCACUACAGCACAUAAGUGAUGAUAAUGGCGAAAGACUUGGCAGAAUUUAUGUUCAUAAGCGAUGAAGUUGCUGGAAGAUAAGAACGAGGCAGAAAAGCGAAGCCUUAAAGCAAAGUUGGAUGCGAAAAGACAAAGAACUAGCACUGGAGAUUGCGUGAUUCAAGAAAUUAUAGAUGCAAGUGCCAUGUUGUGCGAUAGAGGUGAUGUACAUGGAGAUGUUUCAAGAGGUGAGAUGAUUAAGUGGCCAAAAGCUUAUGUAACUCUUGUAGAAGAGUGACCAAAUCCGUGUUGGUGAAGUGAUGGUAGAUUGAAUUCAGUUUUAGCUAGAAUUUAUCUUGCAAUUUGCAUCCGGAGAUUUGAUUUCUAGAAUGUUAUUUAAGGUAAUUAAUAUAAAUUUAAUUUCAAGCUGUUUCAAA